rnacentral:rRNA from 1 species
UACUGGGGGGGCAAGCGUUGUUCGGAAUUACUGGGCGUAAAGGGCUCGUAGGUGGCCAACUAAGUCAGACGUGAAAUCCCUCAGCUUAACUGGGGAACUGCGUCUGAUACUGGAUGGCUUGAGAUUGGGAGAGGGACGCGGAAUUCCAGGUGUAGCGGUGAAAUGCGUAGAUAUCUGGAGGAACACCGGUGGCGAAGGCGGCGUCCUGGACCAACACUGACACUGAGGAGCGAAAGCCAGGGGAGCAAACGGG